CUGCGGGCAUUUCUCCGUUCCUGUUUCUAUGUCUACAUUGAAAGCUUUAUAUAUCAGAUCUGAAAUAGUGAGUCUGCACCGAGUGAAACCACAGAACUUCCUACUACGUUAGUGGUUAGAGACAAUGGGCUAGUUUCCUUGGCGAUUUAGCAAUACUGACUCAAGUGACUCGCACAACCCAGAUCAGUUUAGUGAGUGACUCAGAAUAACCUGAAUCCUUAAAAAGAAUUGAGUUUGCCAGGCCUAAUUUCUGAGCUACAAUGUCUUCCUCUGAUUGGCCAGCUG